rnacentral:rRNA from 1 species
ACGGAUAUCUUGGCUCAUGCAUCGAUGAAGAACGUAGCAAAAUGCGAUACUUGGUGUGAAUUGCAGAAUCCCGUGAACCAUUGAGUUUUUGAACGCAAGUUGCGCCCG